AGAACUGAAUGCCAAACUUUUAGUCUCUUGAUCUCAAGAAUUUUAAUGCUUUUUAUUGCCGUAAAACUCCGGGGAUAUAUUGAUGGAGCUGGAGCUAGACGUCGGUCGAGAUCUGUGAUGCCGGAGGAUACCUGCAAAGGAAGUCCAUACUCGCAGAGGUAUUUCGGUGGGGGAUUUUCUGAUGUUUAAGUUAGCCGAAGCUUUAGAAAUAGUAGAGAGAAAAGAUCGCAAA
rnacentral:lncRNA from 1 species